UAGGGAAUUUUCGUCAAUGGGCGCAAGCCUGAACGAGCAAUGCCGCGUGAACGAGGAAGGUCUUCGGAUCGUAAAGUUCUGUGAAGGGGAAAAAGAGCGGAGAGAGGAAAUGCUUUCUGAUUGAUAUUACCCUUCGAGGAAGUCACGGCUAACUACGUGCC
rnacentral:rRNA from 1 species